rnacentral:rRNA from 1 species
CAGCCGCCACGGUAAUACGUAGGGUGCAAGCGUUAAUCGGAAUUACUGGGCGUAAAGCGUGCGCAGGCGGUUAUAUAAGACAGAUGUGAAAUCCCCGGGCUCAACCUGGGAACUGCAUUUGUGACUGUAUAGCUAGAGUACGGCAGAGGGGGAUGGAAUUCCGCGUGUAGCAGUGAAAUGCGUAGAUAUGCGGAGGAACACCGAUGGCGAAGGCAAUCCCCUGGGCCUGUACUGACGCUCAUGCACGAAAGCGUGGGGAGCAAACAGGAUUAGAUACCCCGGUAGUCCCUGUCUCUUAUAA